GAUCACAUCAAUCAGAGAUAAAGCUGCGAUAUGUUUCUGUGUUUCUGCCCUCCCCAUAUAAACUGCUAGAUAAACAUCUGUCUUUGUUCCGACUGUUGGGGGCGGGGGGGAAGGUGGCGACCAAACUUUUUAAAUAAUUUCUAAUGAUCCAGAGGCAAAAAUGUGUACAUUAUAAGAUGAAUAACAUUUGGGUUCUCUAGCAAGAAUUUGUAGAGCGUAACUAAAACUUGUAAGCAGAUCUAAUGUUAAUGUUAUUGGAUUGUGAUCAGUGCUUUCAUGUAUCAACAUAAUGACAAUGCAUUCAUCAAUCCAUUGUAUUUGGCUACUUGACUUAAUUAAAGAGUUUUAUUAUUCUGAUUUUAAAGAACAACACAUGGAGAUGUUGUAGUGUUGGCUCCUAUUAUGACAUUUUUGCUUAUUUCAUAUAAUUAUGUACUGCUACUGAGAGUUUGUGCUGGUGACAACAAGUUAUAUCCAUUCUGUGUGAAUGGAUGCGGUGAUUAGUGCUUGAGAUCUGUGACAUAUAAACUGACUGAAAUAUUCCAUCCCUUGUCUCCUGGCAUGAAUAGGAAAGCAUAACACGGGCCUCAUCAUAUGACACAGUGAGGAGGAUGCGGUUCUAAUGUUGCAAAAGCUGCUGUAAUGAUCACAUGCAAGGCAGGCUGGAAGUGUGUAGCACUGGAGAGCUCCCUCAGAUAUCAUUAGCUGCUGUGCUGUGAUGAAGAAGCAGGAAUAGGAUCUUGUGAUCCCCUCCUGAGACACUAUUAAUUAAUAAGAGCUUUGCUAAAGAGGCCAUCCUCCACUAAGGCACUCCAUGCUAUCUCAAUGGGAAUCGAUUUGUGUCUCUCUUGCUGCCAAUGUGUCUGCCGGACAUCUUUUACAGUACGACCCUAACGCCAUGGGCCGUCUACGUGUCUGCUGCCGAAGCGCGUGGAGCCAGAUGACACCUUCAGAUCCAGGGAUUACAUUUCAUCAAUGGCCUCUGCUUCCUGUUGGACUUGCACAACACUGUACAAGUCGCAAGUUUGACAUCAUAAGUGUUCAGGUGUAUUAUGUUGCAGGGGAAAUUCAGCUGUGUUUUGUCUUGUAGGUUUAAGGAGCUUGUUAGUUUGACAGCUUAGAAGAACUUUACCACUUUGGCCUCCUGAAUACUUCACAAGACAUUUCUUAUUUAGGGCAAAGCUAACAUUUGUUCAGUAGUAAGAGGAUGUUGACAUGGUUUAACUAUUUUUAACUCUCCCAUUAUUCAUCAGUAUUUAUGCAAAGAAUUCAUAAAAUUAGCCAUAAGGUGAAAGAGUUCUGUUAACUAAACAAAUCACUGUUGCAAUGCAUAAUUCAUUGCAUCUGUAACACACCGUCAAACAUUUACAAAAUGCAAUUUUGAAAGAAGAGCAAAACAGGUAUUUACCAUUUGUCCUGAGAAUGUUUUCAAAUUUCUUGGCUUUGCUCUAAGUUACUGACUACAAAGAGUGAACCCUGCAGAGAUGUCGAUCAAUGUGCUCUCUGUAUGUCAUCCUUUCAAUAGAUUAAAUUGACUUUGACAAACCUAUAAGUGAUUUUGAAGACUUAGGCGUCGUUUCUUGCCCUCCAAGACAUCACUCAGUGGUUGAAAAAAGUGCACAGAAAAUCUGCAACGAAUAAAAAAGCUCAAAUGAAUCCAUUUUCUGUACCUUCUUAAUCCCUUCCAGGUUUUGCACAUGUAUUUACAGUAGACACAAAAAAGUUCACACACUGUUAAAAUACCAGUUUAUGUGAGAUAAGAAAUAGAGCAUAAUUAUGUCAUUUCAAAACCUCUAUAUCCUGUCCAAUUCUGUUAAAAAAUAACAAAUGUGUUAGAAUAAAACAAUGUGAAUAAGCAAAAGUAAGAGUGGUCACCCAAACUGAUAUUUUGGGAAGCCACUUUUUGAUUUUAUUUCAGCACUGCUAGAAGUCUCCCAGUCUCCUUCAAAUUGAUAUUUUCUUCCAUCUUGCUUUGCAAAAAAGUUUCAAAUCUUUCAGAUUGUCAGGACAUGUCUUGUCCACAUGCCUCUAGAGGUGAUCCCAUAUACUGUAUUUCUGUCAGGUUGAGUUCUGAACUUUAUCUAGGCUACAAAAACAAAAUCUAUCAUUUUAUUUUGAUGAAAUCAUUUUACUAUUAAUUUGGAUGGAUACUUGGAUUUGUGGUGAUAAUGAAUAUUAAAAUGUCUAUUUCCUUUAGCUUUGUAGUUGAAGUUUUUUGGUCAAACUAUCAAAAGACUUGGAAUGGAUGGAUUUUAUGCACCUUGACAGAAAGUUUAGUUCAUAUCUCAAGGGUAGGUCUAUAAUGGUAUGACCCAUGAGAAGCUCAGCCCAUAUGGCUUUCUUUCACUGCUUUUGUUUGAAACACACAAGCUACCACACAUCAGAAAAUCUGCCGUUACAAUUACAUAUCAUUCUUUGGCAUUACUUGUUUAUGCACGGCACAUUAGAGCUUUUCUGCUUGUUUGUUUGUCUUAUAACAUGUUUUAAUCUAGUUGUAGAGUCUAGUUGUGUCAGUGAAAUAUCCUGACUGUAGAUUGAUGAUGACUGAUCUGUGUGUCUGAAACUUGACCUCUUGGCCAGAUCACCCUUGUAAAAUAGACCUACUGUUAACUUGGAUGGGUUUUUACCUGGUUAAAUAAAGGUUAAUACAAUUAUAAAAUAAAUUCUCUAAAGCUGAGGACAGGUGUGGACUAAGGGAGAUUGAAUACGGAAAUUAAACUAACAAUUAAUUUGAGGAUGUACACGCAUAUGUAAACAGGUUAUUGCAACUAUUUUAUUUGUUACAUUUUUCUGUUCCCCAUUUUAAAUGUUGGUUUAUUUCUUCAGGAAAACGAUAGGAGGAUAUGUGUAAAAGACCUUCUCUCUGUGUGCAUGGGAGUGCAGGUGCCCAUACCACUGGCCUAUGGACAAGAUACUAAUAGACCUUAGAGAGGUUGAAAGGCCAACGCAGGUGAUUAGGAAAAAUUGGGAGGAGAGGGAAGAGAAGGACAUGCAGCAAAUGACUCAAAACUGGGAAUUGAACCCAUGACUUCCACGUUGAGUCGUACGUGAAAGUCAUGGCUCUGCAUAUGGUGCAGGUCGAGCCACCCAACGCCCUUUUUCUGCAAAUAGGAAAAAACAACAAUCAAAACAACACAAGACUAACCUGACCAGAAGCCUGGAAUAGCACAGAGGAGCUGUGUCAUCAUAUUCUUUGUGAUCACGUUGCCUUUUCCACAAAACAAAACCUUUUCAUCAGACACCAUGCAACGUUAACUUCUUUGAAAGUGUGCCAUUGUAACAUUUUGUUGACUUCAUUGAUUGUAAGACUGCUCCUUAGUGGAAUCAGUAGGUGAACACUGUGCCAAGAGCAGAAACCUGGGACCUGCAUGCUGGCAAAUGUGGAGAAGAGCCAUAUUAAGCAAUGGCUGGUUUAAUUGUACAUCUGCAGGUGCGUGCGUGUGUGUGUGUCGGGGUGUAUGUGCAGUGCUGUGACAUGUUUCAAUACAUCCCUGCUAAAUCUUUGGUCAACAGCCGUCAGAAGGAGUACCGGUACAUAAAUCUAACAGAUGUGAGAAGUUGUUUUCAUUAUGUGUCCAAAUACACCUUAUGUGAUUACAGCGAUCCAAAAUGUAAGACUUUAGAUGAAGGACAAAAUAUGCAAUAAAAAAUAAUAAUACCUUGACAGAAGAAAAAAUGACCUGAAAACCCUAGAAGGUUUCUCUGGACAUGUGAGUGAAAACUGGCUAAGUGGAUAAAAACCAUAAAUACUGAGAAGUGUGACUGAUGAUGACUUGCAGGUGUAUGAAGCUGAAAACUGAGAACACAAAGAAGUAAAAACAAAAGUAGAAAUAAAGGGAAAAAAAUCUGCACAAAUGACUCAUGCAGUUGUUUUUGUUUAUGUGUUUAUUUGUUUGUAGACAGGCUAUAUUAUGUAGGAAUGAUCAUACAAAUUCUCCUUCGCUCUGAGAGAUAAUAUCAAAUCGACUUUUUUGAGUUUUAUGUCAUGUUAUUCCUCCAUCAGAAACAUACCUGGAGUGUUGCUUUGAUUCUUUCAAGCAAGUUUGAGAAAUCCUUUAAUCUCCUGUGGCAACCAUUUGAGAGUUUUGUUCUCACAAAACGCUGUCUAUUUCCACAAUGUUGCUCCAGCUACGGUCUCCUAGCAGAUCUUCCACCUCACUGAGCCGCCAUUCUCCGUGACUGCUCAUUCAACUCCUCUAGACUAGCGGCAGCAGCAAUUUGCAAACACCUGGUGGAACUGGGAGUCAACUCAGCUCGUCUUACAAACUACUUCUCAGUCCAAUGCUCCUAAGAAUAGAUGUAAAUGACAUAAUGGAGGAACGUGAUGACAUGCUAAAGGAGGAGUCCAGGAAAGAGUAGGAGCUUCUUAAAGAGACAGGACAUAAUUUCAAGGCCUUAAAUUACAAAGUCAACUGUAUGUGGUCACUGACCUGUACUGCUCUAAACCUUCAAAUUUACCAUUAAACUGCAAAUAAAUUGCCAA